rnacentral:lncRNA from 1 species
CGAAAGGCGAAAGUGAGAUUUCAAGGGCCGGGUCUGGGGCCCCGCGGGCGCGCAGUGCUGCGGCGUGUGGGGAGUACGGGGAGGCUGGAGAGGAGCCGGCCCCGGGCAGUGUGAGGUGCGGAAGCGCGGUCCAGACACUUUGCUGACGGGAGGCCGGUCCGCCAGAUCCGGGAGGUGGGGCCUCGUUCUGGACUGCUGAUUUUCUUCACAGAAAUCAUGCCGUCUGUGA